rnacentral:rRNA from 1 species
GCCAGCAGCCAUGUUACCCUGCAGCUCUCAACUGGCUACCCACUGAAGCUAAGCAGCAUUGAGCAUGGUCAAUACCUGGAUGGAAGACCCCCUGGGAAGCUAUGGUUGCUGCUGGAA